GUCGCUUUAGCUCACAUGGGAGAGCGCCAGACUGAAGUCAACUUCAGUUAUGCACUGUGCGGUAUCUGGAGGUACUGUGUUCGAUCCACAGAAGCGACA